GAUGAAGAACGCAGUGAAAUGCGAUAAGUAGUGUGAAUUUCAGAAUUCAGUGAAUCAUCGAAUCUUUGAACGCACAUUGCGCCCCUCGGUAUUCCGUGGGGCAUGCCUGUUCGAGCGUCAUUUACCCCUCAAGCACUGCUUGGUGUUGGGCGUCUGUCCCGCUUCGCGCGCGGACUCGCCCCAAAGGUAUUGGCAGCGGUCGUGCCAGCUUCUCGCGCAGCACAUUGCGCUUCUCGAGGCGGUCGAUCGGCGUCCACGAAGCUCACCUCCACCGUUUGACCUCGGAUCAGGUAGGGAUACCCGCUGAACUUAAGCAUAUCAAUAAGCGGAGGA
rnacentral:misc_RNA from 1 species